rnacentral:ncRNA from 1 species
UGCUGAUAAAGGCAAACUUAUUGAAAAAUAAGGACGCAAAGCCAUGGGUCUAAGGAAGCGACGCUUCUAUGAUUGCCAGGUUGCCAAA